rnacentral:rRNA from 1 species
GACGAACGCUGGCGGCGUGCUUAACACAUGCAAGUGGAGCGACUAAGCGGGCUUCGGCCCGUGGCAAAGCCGCGAACGGGUGAGUAACACGUGGGUAACCUGCCCUGAUGACCGGGACAACCCGAGGAAACUCGGGCUAAUACCGGAUGUGGUCCAUACACAUGAGUGUUUGGACUAAAGGUACCUUCGGCCUCCGCAUCAGGAAUGGCCCGCGGCGCAUUAGCUUGUUGGUGAGGUAAUGGCUUACCAAGGCGACGAUGCGUAGCUGGUCUGAGAGGACGAUCAGCCACACUGGGACCGAGACACGGCCCAGACUCCUACGGGAGGCAGCAGUGGGAAUCUUGCGCAAUGCGCGAAAGCGUGACGCAGCAACGCCGCGUGAGGGAAGACGGCUUUCGGGUUGUAAACCUCUUUCAGGAGGGACGAAGCCUGGCUGGUGAAUAGCCUGUCCAGGUGACGGUACCUCCACAAGAAGCCCCGGCUAACUACGUGCCAGCCGCCGCCGUAA